AUCUACAACAUGGCUGCCUACAUGACCAGGACCUGGCCCAGGCACUAAGCAGCUGUCCUGUGCCGUGCCACCCUGCCCUGGACCAGCAGGCGAUGGACUGAAAGAGCCAGAGUUUCAGCCAAGCCAGAUGCAAGUUACAGAGACGGCAACGG